rnacentral:rRNA from 1 species
AGAUUGAACGCUGGCGGCAGGCCUAACACAUGCAAGUCGAGCGGUAGAGAGGUGCUUGCACCUCUUGAGAGCGGCGGACGGGUGAGUAAUGCCUAGGAAUCCGCCUAGUGGUGGGGGAUAACGUUCGGAAACGGACGCUAAUACCGCAUACGUCCUACGGGAGAAAGCGGGGGACCUUCGGGCCUCGCGCCAUUAGAUGAGCCUAGGUCGGAUUAGCUAGUUGGUGAGGUAAUGGCUCACCAAGGCGACGAUCCGUAACUGGUCUGAGAGGAUGAUCAGUCACACUGGAACUGAGACACGGUCCAGACUCCGUACGGAGGCAG